CCUACGGGAGGCAGCAGUGAGGAAUUUUCCGCAAUGGGCGAAAGCCUGACGGAGCAAUACCGCGUGAGGGAUGAAGGAUUUUGGUCUGUAAACCUCUUUUCUCAAGAAAGAAGUUCUGACGGUACUUGAGGAAUAAGCAUCGGCUAACUCCGUGCCAGCAGCCGCGGUAAUACGGGGGAUGCAAGCGUUAUCCGGAAUGAUUGGGCGUAAAGCGCCUGUAGGUUGUUUAUUAAGUCCGUUGUUAAAGCCUAGGGCUCAACCCUAGAAAAGCAAUGGAAACUAGUAGACUAGAGUAUGGCAGGGGUAGAGGGAAUUUCUAGUGUAGCGGUGAAAUGCGUAGAUAUUAGAAGGAACACCGGUGGCGAAAGCGCUCUACUGGACCAUUACUGACACUCAGAGGCGAAAGCUAGGGUAGCAAAAGGGAUUAGAUACCCCUGUAGUCCUAGCCGUAAACGAUGGAUACUAGAUGUUGUGNAUAUAUACAGUAUACGUAGUACUACGUACGUUAACGUACUACCGUCCGUCGGGUACGGUACGUCGUCGCGAGGUAGAACGUACAAUAGUAAGUUAGUACGGCGUGAGACGUCGCCGACGGACGACCGACGAGGGAGGUAGG
rnacentral:rRNA from 1 species